ensembl:lncRNA
GUGGAGUUUAGUGGAGGUUAGUGGAGUUUAGUGGAGUUUAGGGGAGGUUAGUGGAGUUUAGGGGAGGUUAGUGGAGUUUAGUGGAGUUUAGGGGAGGUUAGUGGAGUUUAGGGGAGGUUAGUGGAGUUUAGGGGAGUUUAGUGGAGUUUAGUGGAGGUUAGUGGAGGUUAGUGGAGUUUAGUGGAAGUUCGAGGAGGUUAGUGAAGGUUAGUGGAGUUUAGGGGAGGUUAGUGAAGGAUAGUGGAGUUUAGUGGAAGUUAGAGGAGGUUAGUGGAGUUUAGUGGAGGUUAGUGGAGGUUAGUGGAGGUUAGUGGAGGUUAGGGGAGGUUAGUGGAGUUUAGUGGAAGUUAGAGGAGGAUAGUGGAGGUUAGUGGAGUUUAGUAUAUUCAAGUGUUUCUGUUGAAAAUCUUUAUUUCCU